AUGCAUCUCUGACAGACCCGGAGUAGUGAAUGCCUGCUGCUAAGGUUUCCAUUAUAGAUGCAAGGAAAGAAAGGUCCUUGCGCUUUCUGUCUGGUGGUGGCAGCUAAGAUGGAAUGGAGGAAUACAGAA
rnacentral:snoRNA from 1 species